GAAGACGCGACACAUACUUGAUACGGGCUCAAUAUACGCGUAAUUAGUACGUGAGAAGGGUAUACAAAGAAACCCAGUUUCAAAUUAAAUCGAGCGGUUAUAAGCACGGUGUCGGCCGAGUGACGAAAAGUGCCGGAAUUUUACCCCGCCUUGCACCCCCACAGACAGCACACUCUACACUUUCAGCUAUAAUUGUACGUGAUUAUUUGUACUGAGCGAAACGGCAUCACUGCAGCUUUUCUUUUUCUCGUUGAUCUGUCAAAACACAGAACAUGGAAGUGGUAAAAAACAGUCGCGAAUAUCAGCUCGUUUUAUGUAUUCUAUUUUCAAUUGGAAUACUUCUCGGUGCAGUAAAUAUCGCCAAAAUAUAUGCGCAAAUAGAAAACAACAUAGAGAAAACUUCGAAGUAUGAAUAGAUACACUUUAACGCAAAAACAGCAGAAAUGCGCAAUCGAUACGAACGGAUCUGAGGGAACCUUAUGUGCAGUUUUCCUUCAAUCCUACAAACGGCAGACAUCAUCGGUUAGAAGUGAUAUGAGGACGGAGAAGGUAGUUUCGAACGAGAUAAAAACUCGAUCUGUGUCAAUGAAGAAACAUGCAGUAGCUGCGACCAGCCGCCCACCGUUUACCACAAGAUCUACAUGAAUGUUUAAGACUGGCCAACAACGGAAAUUUCAGGAAGAUGUUUUAAACGAGAAUGGAACAGAAUGAAAAAUGCUAUGCUGGAGAAUUACAUUGAUUGACGUUCACGAUUACAUUGCUAAGAGAGCAAUUGGAUACGCACAAGUUGUAAGAAACUGCGCUUGACGUACACUCACAGGAAUUUCAGAGCCGCACAUGUUAACUUCUAUACAUACAUUAAAGACAACGACGAAUUUAAUCUCGCUGUUCAUGGCUGUAAAUGAACGAGACAUUGUACUUAGAUGGUAUGAAAUACAUCAUGAAAUUAUUGAAAAGGAAAGGCUAUUGCUACUAUUGUGAUAUUUUUAAUAGAUAAGUUUUUCCGACCAAUAGAUUUUCAUUCCUCAGGGCACCUCAGAUACAAAUGGAACAUUGGCGCCUGGCAAGAACUGCACAUUUCCGUCCGGGAAUAUGACGACAUGCUCCUUCACUCAAAGAAAUUCGCAAUCAUCAAUGCCAUCUCUAUCUCUAUACGAAGAAUAAAAUACAACAAUUGAUUAAAUCAUGUUUAUGAUAUUCACUAUCUUGACAAACUUUUUUUUUCAGGUGGUCCAAUUCAAGUUCAGGAUGUAUCCAUCGAUAGGCUGCAAUUGUUCUGCAAUCCGGGGAAGAAAUCGAUUACUAUAUUAGCUCACCAUGAGCUGGAUUCGUGACCACUUAACAACGAUUCCACGUAAACACACUGAAUACAGAAAUCCUAAUUGUCGAUGAUUGCAGUGUAUAAUUUUUUGUAUAAAUUAUAUUGUAUAAAAAUAAAUGUUUGUAAAC